GACGAACGCUGGCGGCGUGCUUAACACAUGCAAGCCGAACGGAAAGGCCCUGCUUUUGUGGGGUGCUCGAGUGGCGAACGGGUGAGUAACACGUGAGUAACCUGCCCUUGACCUUGGGAUAACUUCAGGAAACUGGGGCUAAUACCGGAUAGGAGCUCCUGCUGCAUGGUGGGGGUUGGAAAGUUUCGGCGGUUGGGGAUGGACUCGCGGCUUAUCAGCUUGUUGGUGGGGUAGUGGCUUACCAAGGCUUUGACGGGUAGCCGGCCUGAGAGGGUGACCGGCCACAUUGGGACUGAGAUACGGCCCAGACUCCUACGGGAGGCAGCAGUGGGGAAUAUUGCACAAUGGGCGGAAGCCUGAUGCAGCAACGCCGCGUGCGGGAUGACGGCCUUCGGGUUGUAAACCGCUUUCGCCUGUGACGAAGCGUGAGUGACGGUAAUGGGUAAAGAAGCACCGGCUAACUACGUG
rnacentral:rRNA from 1 species